rnacentral:rRNA from 1 species
CCCCUAGAUGUUCUGGGCCGCACGCGCGCUACACUGGACAGUUCAACAAGUCUUAACCUUGGCCGAUAGGUCUGGGUAAUCUUUGAACGCUGUUCGUGACUGGGAUAGACCUUUGCAAUUAUGGGUCUUCAACGAGGAAUUCCUAGUAAACGCAAGUCAUCAGCUUGCAUUGAUUACGUCCCUGCCCUUUGUACACACCGCCCGUCGCACCUACCGAUUGAAUGGUCCGGUGAAAUCUCGGGACGGCGGCUUGGUCGCUUGCGUCCGACUGCUGAAACUUGAUUAAACCAUAUCAUUUAGAGGAAGGUGAAGUCGUAACA